AGAUUACAGCCUUUCAAAGCAGAUUCAGUGCCAUCAUGCGUGAUGGGUACGUGAACGCAAUCUAUGGCUAUUUCCGGUCCUUGUCCGCACAAUGAGAGGAAACCCAUCACCUUUAAGUCGUCGAAGCCCACCACCGCUGCACGUGCGUGAGAGAUCGGACGGAAGUGGUGUGUGCAGCAAAGCGGGGCAAUUGAAAAUGUAAACAUAUUCCAUCAAAGUGCAUCUCCUAGCUUGGUGUUUGUGCUUGCCGAAUGCAAAGGAAUGAAAGUGUUCCCGUGAGGAUUUACAGUUACCUUAGCGAGACCGAGCCGAGGCCCGCGUGGCGGAGGAGUCGGGCAAGCGCCAUGGCCUUGUCGUUUUGCGGCAACGAUGAAAACGCCAGCAGCUACAGCGUGAACGACGGCAUGCUGAACAAUGGCUGCUUCGUGGACGCGCUCAACCUGGUGCCUCACGUCUUCCUGCUCUUCAUCACCUUCCCCAUCCUCUUCAUUGGAUGGGGCAGUCAGAGCUCCAAGGUCCAAAUCCAUCACAACACCUGGCUCCACUUCCCGGGACACAACCUGCGGUGGAUCCUCACCUUCUCGCUGCUCUUCGUCCAUGUGUGCGAGUUUGCUGAGGGCAUCGUCUCCAACAAGAUGAUGGACACCAACCACCUGCACCUCUUCAUGCCCGCCUUCAUGGGCUUUGUGGCGGCCACCACAUCGGUGGUGUACUACCACAACAUCGAGACCUCCAACUUCCCCAAACUUCUCCUUGUCCUCUUCAUCUACUGGGUGCUGGCUUUCAUCACCAAGUCCAUCAAGCUGUGGAAGUUUGUGGAGUACAAGGUGGGCCUGCAGCAGCUGAGGUUCUGCAUCACAGCCCUGCUGGUGAUCCUGUACGGCCUGCUCAUGGCCGUGGAGGUCAACGUCAUUCGGAUCAGGAAGUACGUCUUCUUCGCCAACCCCCAGAAGGUGAAACCUCCAGAAGACUUGCAAGAUUUGGGGGUCCGUUUUCUGCAGCCCUUCGUCAACCUGCUCUCAAAGGCGACCUACUGGUGGAUGAACCCUCUCAUCAUGGGCGCCCACAAGAGGCCCAUCGAGCUGAAGAAGAUCGGUAAGCUCCCCAUCGCCAUGAGGGCGCUCACCAACUACCUCCGCCUCAAAGACGCCUACGAGGACCAGAAGACGGCCGAGAACCCCGACCGAGCCCCUUCCAUCUGGCGCUCCAUGUACCGAGCGUUCGGGCGGCCCAUCCUGCUCAGCAGCACCUUCCGCUACCUGGCCGACCUGCUGGGCUUCGCCGGGCCGCUCUGCAUCUCGGGCAUCGUCAGGAACUUGACUCUGGAAGGAGGCGGCGCCACUCAGGACAAGAUAAGGGAGACCUACUUUGGCGUCCACUUCAUGCUGUCCACGGAGCUGCUGCAGAACACCUCGGUUCUGGCCGUCCUUCUCUUCCUGGCUUUAGUCCUGCAGAGAACCUUCCUGCAGGCCUCCUACUAUGUCACCAUAGAGACGGGCAUCAAUCUACGGGGCGCCCUGCUGGCCAUGAUUUACAACAAGAUCCUGCGUCUGUCAACAUCCAACAUGUCCAUGGGUGAGAUGACGCUGGGUCAGAUCAACAACCUCGUCGCCAUAGAGACCAACCAGCUCAUGUGGUUCCUCUUCCUGUGCCCAAACCUGUGGGCCAUGCCAGUGCAGAUCGUGAUGGGCGUGAUUCUUCUCUACUACCUGCUUGGCUGGAGCGCCUUGAUCGGAGCUUCUGUCAUCGUUCUGCUGGCUCCCGUCCAGUACCUCAUCGCCACCAAGCUGGCCGACACGCAGAAGAGCACACUGGAGCACUCCACGGAUCGCCUGAAGAAGACCACAGAGAUCCUGAAGGGCAUCAAGCUGCUGAAGCUCUACGCCUGGGAGAACAUCUUCUGUGACAGCGUGGAGGACACGAGAGGCAAAGAGCUGACCAGCCUCAAGACCUUUGCCUUCUACACGUCCAUGUCCAUCUUCAUGAACGCCGCUAUUCCCAUCGCCGCCGUCCUGGUGACCUUUGUCAUGCAUCACUUCAUCACCAAAAGUAGUCCGAGUCCUUCUGAGGCCUUCGCCACUUUGGCCUUGUUCAACAUCCUGGUCACGCCUCUCUUCCUGCUCUCCACCGUCGUCAGGUUCGCCGUCAAGGCGCUCGUCAGCGUGCAGAAGCUGGGCGAGUUCCUCCAGAGCGACGAGAUCGGAGACGACAGCUGGAGGAACGGGGAGAUGUCGGUGCCCUCCGAGGCCGCCAAGAAGCACCCCGGGGCGACCAAAGCCAUCAACAGGAAGCAGCCCUUGCGCUACCAGAUGGACAACUACGAGCAGCCAUCCAGGCGGCAGAUGAGGCCCAGCGAGACGGAGGAUGUGGCCGUCAAGGUGAGCAACGGAUGCUUCACCUGGGGAAGCAACCUGUCAACGCUGUCCGACAUCAACAUCCGCAUCCCGACAGGUCAGCUGACCAUGAUCGUGGGCCAGGUGGGCUGCGGGAAGUCGUCGCUGCUGCUGGCCAUGCUGGGCGAGAUGCAGACCAUCAGUGGGCGUGUCCACUGGAGCAAGCUGCCUGAUUGCGAGACGCUCCUCCACCAGGGGACGUUCAGCAAGAACCGGUACUCCGUAGCCUACGCCACCCAGAAGUCCUGGCUGCUCAACGCCACGGUGGAGGAAAACAUCACCUUCGGAAGCCCCUUCAACAAGCAGAGGUACAAGGCGGUGAUCGACGCCUGCUCUCUGCAACUGGACAUCGACCUUCUUCCCUUUGGAGACCAGACGGAGAUUGGCGAGCGGGGCAUCAACCUGAGCGGCGGACAGCGGCAGAGGAUCUGCGUGGCCCGAGCGCUCUACCAGAACACCAACAUCGUCUUCUUGGACGACCCCUUCUCGGCUCUGGACAUCCACCUGAGCGACCACCUGAUGCAGGAAGGCAUCCUCAAGUUCCUGCAGGACGAUAAGCGGACCGUCGUUCUCGUCACCCACAAGCUACAGUACCUCAUCCACGCCGACUGGAUCAUAGCCAUGAAGGGCGGCUCCGUGCUGAGGGAAGGAACCCUGAAGGACAUCCAGACUCACGACGUGGAGCUCUACGACCACUGGAAGACGCUCAUGAACAGACAGGACCAGGAGCUGGAGAAGGACAUCGAGCAGGACAGCCAAACCACGCUGGAGAGGAAGACUCUCCGCAGGGCCUUCUACUCUCGAGAGGCCAAGAACCAAAUGGAUGAUGAGGAUGAAGAGGAAGAAGAGGAGGAAGAAGAUGAUGACAACCUGUCCAUGACCACAAGCAGAAGGUCCAAGGUGCCGUGGAAGGUGUGCUGGUGCUACAUGUCCUCCGGUGGCUUCCUCAUGGUCUUCCUCAUGGUGUCCUCCAAGCUCCUCAAGCACUCGGUCAUCGUUGCCAUGGACUACUGGCUGGCCAUGUGGACCAAGUCCAAUCAGACCAUUGUGGCGGGACCAAACGGAACGUGCCAGGUCCAAGUGAUCAACAGGAACACCACGUUCCCCGGAUCCCCGGACUACGAGGACUCCCUCUACCUGACCGUCUUCAUCGUCCUGUGCGCGGCUGGGAUCACCUUGUGCCUCAUCACCUCCCUCACCGUGGAGUUUUUGGGUCUUUCUGCCGCCACUAACCUUCAUCACAACCUGCUCAACAAGAUCAUCCACGCUCCUCUCAGGUUUUUUGAUAUCACCCCACUGGGGCAGAUCCUCAACAGGUUCUCAGCUGACACCAAUAUUAUUGACCAGCACAUCCCCCCGACGCUGGAGUCUUUGACCCGAUCCACCCUGCUGUGUUUGUCCGCCAUCGGGGUCAUCUCCCGCAUCACACCCACCUUCAUCAUCGCCCUGGUUCCCCUGGCAGUGGCCUUCUACUUCAUACAGAAGUACUUCCGGGUCGCCUCCAAGGACCUGCAGGACCUGGACGACUCCACCCAGCUCCCUCUGCUGUGCCACUUCUCCGAGACGGCUGAAGGUCUCACCACCAUCAGAGCCUUUAGACACGAGGCUCGUUUCAAACAACGCAUGCUGGAGCUGACCGACACCAACAACACCGCCUACUUGUUCCUCUCUGCUGCCAACCGCUGGCUGGAGGUCCGCACGGACUACCUGGGAGCGGUGAUCGUGCUGGCGGCGGCCGGGGCGUCCAUCUGGGGUUUACAUUGCGGAGAACCGUCUGGAGGUCUGGUGGGGCUCGCUCUCACCUACGCCCUCACCGUCACCAACUACCUGAACUGGGUGGUGAGGAACCUGGCGGACUUGGAGGUGCAGAUGGCGGCGGUGAAAAAGGUCAACAGCUUCCUGAGUACGGAGUCUGAGAACUACGAGGGAUCCAUGGACGCCUCCCAGGUCCCAGAGAACUGGCCCGGAGACGGGGGCAUCAAGAUCCAGGACCUGUGCGUGCGCUACGACCCCAUGCUGAAGCCCGUGCUCAAACACGUCAACGCGUACAUCCAGCCCGGCCAGAAGGUGGGAAUCUGCGGCCGCACCGGCAGCGGCAAGUCCUCGCUGUCCCUGGCCUUCUUCAACAUGGUGGACAUUUUUGAAGGAAAGAUCGUCAUCGACGGGAUCGACAUCUGCAAACUUCCUCUGCAGACGCUCAGGUCUCGGCUGUCCAUCAUCCUGCAGGACCCCGUCUUGUUUAGCGGCUCCAUUAGGUUCAAUCUGGAUCCCGAGCGGACGUGUAACGAUGAACGCCUGUGGGAGGCGCUGGAGAUUGCUCAGCUGAAGAACAUGGUCCAGACGCUGCCCGGAGGACUUGAUGCGGUGGUGACGGAGGGCGGAGAGAACUUCAGCGUGGGUCAGCGCCAGCUCUUCUGCUUGGCUCGAGCUUUUGUACGCAAGAGUAGCAUCCUCAUCAUGGACGAGGCCACCGCCUCCAUCGACAUGGCAACGGAGAACAUCCUCCAAAAAGUUGUGAUGACGGCGUUUGCAGAUCGGACGGUGGUCACCAUCGCUCACCGCGUGUCCUCCAUCCUGGAUGCGGGGCAGGUGCUGGUGUUCUCCUCAGGGAUUUUGGUGGAGAGUGACUCGGGUCCUAACCUGCUAGCACAGGAGGAGAGCCUCUUCAGUGUGCUAGUGAGGACUCACAAGUAGACCCGGAUCGGACCUGGUCUCGGCCCCCCCCCCGCUCCACUCCUCUUCCUGUCUUUCCUUCUUCUCACUUACCGAUCGGGUCGGGGCUGGAGGUCCGCCUCCGGGUCUGCUGCAGACAGCCUGCACCGAGUCCACACCAUCCUCACGGCAGACCUGGUCAUCGUCAUGAAGCGGGGGAACAUUCUGGAGUACGACAAGCCCGAGACUCUCCUGGAGCAGCAGGACGGCAUGUUUGCGUCUUUCGUCAAGGC